GACGAACGCUGGCGGCGUGCCUAAUACAUGCAAGUAGAACGCACGGUUUAUACCGUAGCUUGCUACACCAUAGACUGUGAGUUGCGAACGGGUGAGUAACGCGUAGGUAACCUGCCUGGUAGCGGGGGAUAACUAUUGGAAACGAUAGCUAAUACCGCAUAAUAUUAAUUAUUGCAUGAUAAUUAAUUGAAAGGUGCAAUUGCACCACUACCAGAUGGACCUGCGUUGUAUUAGCUAGUAGGUGAGGUAACGGCUCACCUAGGCGACGAUACAUAGCCGACCUGAGAGGGUGAUCGGCCACACUGGGACUGAGACACGGCCCAGACUCCUACGGGAGGCAGCAGUAGGGAAUCUUCGGCAAUGGACGAAAGUCUGACCGAGCAACGCCGCGUGAGUGAAGAAGGGUUUCGGAUCGUAAAGCUCGGUUGUAAGAGAAGAACGGGUGUGAGAGUGGAAAGUUCACACUGUGACGGUAUCUUACCAGAAAGGGACGGCUAACUACGUG
rnacentral:rRNA from 1 species